rnacentral:rRNA from 1 species
AUUGAACGCUAGCGGGAUGCUUUACACAUGCAAGUCGAACGAGUGGCGGACGGGUGAGUAAUCUAUCGGAAAGUGCCCAGUAGCGGGGGAUAACUUAUCGAAAGAGUGGCUAAUACCGUAUAAUAUUGGAACGGCCGAUAUCGGAUUAGCUAGUGGGGGGGGUAAAGGCUCACCAAGGCCACGAUCCGUAGGUGGUUUGAGAGGACGACCAGCCACACUGGAACUGAGACACGGCCCAGACUCCUACGGGAGGCAGCAGUGGGGAAUUUUGUACAAUGGGGGAAACCCUGAUCCAGCCAUCCCGCGUGUGUGAGAAGGCCUUCUGGUUGUAAAGUACUUUUAGCAGGGAAGCGGUAUCUGCAGAAGAAGCACCGGCUAACUACGUGCCAGCAGCCGCGGUAAUUC